rnacentral:rRNA from 1 species
GACGAACGCUGGCGGCGUGCCUAAUACAUGCAAGUAGACCUUAGUGGCGGACGGGUGAGUAACACGUGGGUAACCUACCCAUAAGAGGGGGAUAACACUUGGAAACAGGUGCUAAUAACGCAUACUGAUGGAUGGACCCGCGGUGCAUUAGCUAGUUGGUGAGGACAAGGCUCACCAGGGCCACGAUGAAUAGCCGACUGGAGAUGGUGAUCGGCCACACUGGAACGGAGACACGGUCCAGCCUCCGACGGGAGGCAGCAGUGGGGAAUAUGGCACAAUGGGCGCAAGCCUGAUGCAGCCAUGCCGCGUGUGUGAAGAAGGCCUUCGGGUUGUAAAGCACUUUCAGCGAGGAGCGUUACUCGCAGAAGAAGCACCGGCUAACUCCGUGCCAGCCGCCGCGGUAAUUC